rnacentral:lncRNA from 1 species
AAUACAAGCAAUUCACCAGUACUGAAGUUGCUACAAAAACUGGAAUCUUCCCCAGCCUAGAAAUCCAACAAAGCUUCGCCUCCUUUCCUCUAUCAAAUUUUUGCAGCUGCUGCUUUUCUCCAAUGGAGCUGAAUUUUGGACACCCUCUAGUUCUUGAGCAGAUGAACAACUUUCAAGAAGGAAUCGUUUCUGUUUGAGCGACGGAAAUUAACGUGUUGAAGCUCCAAACAUGAUAGUCGGCUUCUUGCAGAUUUCGAAGCUGUUGUGAUGUUUCGAAGAUCUGGAAAUAUUUAACCGUUAGUUCAUCCUGAAUUGUUGAUAUGUUAUGAAAGAGUUGAUGAGGAACAACUUCAAUGAAGAAAGCAUGCCGAUCUGAACAAUAGAAAAUGGAGUUUCGAAGCUCACAACAAAUCUGACGGGUUGACAGAAAAAUAAUAACCAGUCAUUCAUCAUACCUGGAUUUCUGGAGUUAUACUGCUCCGAGGGAUCUCAAAUUUGGAUAUAUUGUAAUUCACGAGCUGAGGAACAACUUCAAUGAAGAAAGCAUACCGAUCUGAACAAGAGAAAAUGGAGUUUCGAAGCUCACAACAAAUCUGACGGGUUGACAGAAAAAUAAUAACCAGUCAUUCAUCAUACCUGGAUUUCUGGAGUUAUACUGCUCCGAGGGAUCUCAAAUUUGGAUAUGUUGUAGUUCACAAGCUGAGGAACAACUUCAAUGAAGAAAGCAUGCUGAUCUGAGCAAGAGAAAAUAGAGUUUCAAAGCUCACAACAAAUCUGACGGGUUGACAGACAAAUGAUAAACAGUCACUCAUCAUACCUGGAUUUCUAGAGUUAUACUGCUCCGAGGGACCUCAAAUUUGGAUAUGUUGUAGUUCACAAGUUAAGGAACAACUUCGAUGAAGAACGUAUGUUGAUCUGAACAAGGGAAAAUGGAGUUUCGAAGCUCACAACAAGUCUGACGGAUUAACAGAACAUUGAUGAACAGUUACUCAUCAUACUUGAAUUUCUGAAGUUGUACUACUCCGAUGGAUCUCAAAUUUGGAUAUGUUGUAGUUCACAAGAUAAGGAAAAACUUUCAUGAAGACGACUUUGCAAUCUGAG